UACGAAGGGCGCUAGCGUUGUUCGGAAUCACUGGGCGUAAAGCGUACGUAGGCGGCUUUGUCAGUCAGGGGUGAAAUCCCGGGGCUCAACCUCGGAACUGCCUUUGAUACAGCAAGUCUUGAGUUCGAGAGAGGUGGGUGGAAUUCCUAGUGUAGAGGUGAAAUUCGUAGAUAUUAGGAAGAACACCGGUGGCGAAGGCGGCCCACUGGCGCGAUACUGACGCUGAGGUGCGAAAGCGUGGGGAGCAAACAGG
rnacentral:rRNA from 1 species